CUGUAUACAAAAAGAGCAAAAAAACAGAAAAAGGAAGGACACAAAUGCUCCCCCAAAGAAAACAAGGAGAGACAGAAGGGGAGGGACAAAGGAAAGGGGGAGGGCACGUUUUCCCCUUUUCUCUUUUUUCCUUUCCCCUUUCCCCUUUUCUCUUUC
rnacentral:ribozyme from 1 species